GUCUCCUGACAUGUAAACAGUAUGGGCCGUAGCAUACAGCAUUACAUCCUAGGACAUUUUCCCGACUGCCUUAAGCAAUGUGUAUCACGCCCCCUUGUGGCAGCCUCAUCACUAUGUGAGUAACCUUACACCGUUAACUAGAUCCAGCAUGUGAACAGUUACAUGACACAACUGAUCCUAGGCAGUACAAAUGUUAUG